rnacentral:lncRNA from 1 species
GCAUUUUGAUCUUAAAGCUGUGAAUCAAGACCUUUUGUUACUAAUUUGUGAUAAUCGUUGAGAAAAAUAGAGUUUUUUGGAGAUUGAAGGCUUCGGUUCACAAAAACAGGUAAGAACUUUGGGUUUUUUCUUUUUUCCGCCAUUUGAUUUAUUUCACAGCAUAUUUUGAACAAAAUGAGUUCAAUAAUUAGGGUUUUUAAUCUUUAUUGUGUCUAGUAUGAUUUAAAAUUUUCAAUUUUACGUAAUCUGGUCAAUUACAGCAAGAAAUUUGAUAUGAACAUUGAG